CACACACAUAUACAAGAAGAAAAACUGCCUCAAAACAAAGCAAGAGGAAUAUGCUUCACUGGGGUAAUAAGAGAGAGUAGUCCAGGGGUACAGCCUUUAUGGGAACCAACAUAACAUAGACUGCCAGGUGAGCACCUCAUGAAGAACUUAUGGAAGACAUAAAUGAAAGCCAUUCAGGAAAACCAAGCAUCAUGUGUCCCAAUAUAUAUUUAAAAAGAAGGCCAAUUAAGUACAUUCACAGAGGCUUUGGAAUAUGUUUUUACCAGAUAAGAUCCUCAACAGGUUUAAAUAUUUGAAGACUCCUAUCACUUA